GACGAACGCUGGCGGCGUGCCUAAUACAUGCAAGUUGAGCGAUGAAGAUUGGUGCUUGCACCAAUUUGAAGAGCAGCGAACGGGUGAGUAACGCGUGGGGAAUCUGCCUUUGAGCGGGGGACAACAUUUGGAAACGAAUGCUAAUACCGCAUAAUAACUUUAAACAUAAGUUUUAAGUUUGAAAGAUGCAAUUGCAUCACUCAAAGAUGAUCCCGCGUUGUAUUAGCUAGUUGGUGAGGUAAAGGCUCACCAAGGCGAUGAUACAUAGCCGACCUGAGAGGGUGAGCGGCCACAUUGGGACUGAGACACGGCCCAAACUCCUACGGGAGGCAGCAGUAGGGAAUCUUCGGCAAUGGACGAAAGUCUGACCGAGCAACGCCGCGUGAGUGAAGAAGGUUUUCGGAUCGUAAAACUCUGUUGGUAGAGAAGAACGUUGGUGAGAGUGGAAAGCUCAUCAAGUGACGGUAACUACCCAGAAAGGGGCGGCUAACUACGUG
rnacentral:rRNA from 1 species